CUCUCUCCCUCUCCCUCUCUCCUGGUCCUAAUGUACCAGCUCCUCUCCUGUUGCUCCUGUUUCUAUUAAUGCAUGUAUAGUUUUAGCCUUCAGGAGAUGAGGGAUUUAUUGAUGUGCUUUCUAUUUGUCUUUGAAGAUUUGAAUAUCAAUGUUCUCAUCCAGUGGUGGCAGGAUUGUGUUGAUGCUCCUGUUCCUUUAUCAAGGACCUACUCUCUCCAAUAGGGUCACCAGUGGGAGGGGCUGGGGGUGGAGCUUACAAUGGUAGCAAUGAAAUAUCAGCUUUCUUUGAUGUCCUCGAAUCUUGUGCCCACAUUUUUGAGUAUAUUGGAAGAAUAGAAAUGGUAAGCUAUAGGGCUGGGAUGAAGCUUCCAAAGGUUUAAAGUUACAUGUAGUUUCCAUUAAUCAUCAAUCACACAUGUGUAUGUACAUGUACAUGGGUAUUGCGAUAUUUUUUCAAAUGGCUGUAACGCAGAAAGUUUUACUCGGAAUCAGCUCAAACUUGCUACACAGCACAAGGAUGUCAAUAUGUAUUAGAAAAUGUAA